rnacentral:rRNA from 1 species
GAUGAACGCUGGCGGCGUGCUUAACACAUGCAAGUCGAACGAAGCACCUCCUUUGAUCUCCUUCGGGACUGAUUCUUUUGUGACUGUGUGGCGGACGGGUGCGUAACGCGAGGGUAGCCUGACUCGUACAGGGGGAUACUAGUUGGAAAUGGCUGGUAAUAUUGCAUACGCGCAUAGCAUGGCAUGAUGCAGUGUGUAAAGCUCCGGGGGGAUAAGAUGGACCCGCGUUGGUUUAGCUAGUUGGUGAGGUCACGGCCCACCAAGGCGACGAUGCAUAGCCUACGAGAGAGGGUGACCAGCUACAUUGUGACUGAGACACGGCCCAAACACCUGCGGGAGGCAGCAGUAGGGAAUAUCACACAAUGGACGAAAGCCGGAGGCAGCGAGGGCGCGUGAUCGAAGAAGUAGGGCGGUAUGUAAAGCUCGAUCAGCAGGGAAGGUAAGGGCGUUACCUGACUGAGGAGGACCGGCUAAAUACCUU